GGGGGUCAAUUCACAACAGCAAAGUGUAUUGCACAAAAGCAAAUAAUUGAAUAUAAAUUCAAAUCAUAUAACCAAUUCUAAGUUCUUUGACUACAGUUAUUCUGUGUCAGAAACCUAUUAUGUGUCAAAUAUUUAAUGAAAAUCCAAAUUCAGACCUGUAUCAAGUGCGAAUAUUGUGUCCAUUUUUGCCCCAACUGUUCAGGGUUGGACCUCUGCGGUCGUAUCCAGCUGCGCUCGGCGAAGCAAUUUUUAUAACAAUAGUUUAAAACAGUACAAGACUUUCAGAAAGUUAUUCAGGGUCUGUUAAAAGCUACAAGAAAGUUGGACAACUAUAGAUAUCUAACUACAUGUAUAAGGUGUACUGAAAUGCUUUAAAACACAAAGAUGUUGUAGCUUUUAAUGACAUUCCAGUAAUUUCCUUCAAUCACAAGGAUCAAUUUCCUCCAUUUCAGCUCACCUAUUAAGAGUGCAGUGUUGUCCAUGUUGUAGACUCAAAAAAUAUCUUCUCAGAAGAAACCUCUGGACCAAUUUCAACCAAACUUAAAAGUGAUCCUUGAAUGGUCCUUUGUAUAAAGUUUGUUCCUGCCAAUCAACCAUCAUGGCCACCAUGUCUAAAGUGCUGUUAUUGACUUAUAUCUUGAAAACCAUAAUAGAUAGAGAUAAUCUGAUCAGCAAUAAUGCUCGAAUUGUAAAGGUCUACAAUUUUCCUUACCAUCAAUAUUAUCAAAUGACUCUUUAAGGAGCGAUUGCCCUUAAAUGACUUUUUUUUACUUAUUUUCAAGUUUUUAUACGACCUCAAAAAAAUUUUGCGGUCGUAUAUUGGUAUGAUGUUGGCGUCGUUGUCGUCAUCCGAAGACACAUUGGUUUUCGCACUCUAACUUUAGUUUAGGUGAAUGGAUCUCUUUGAAAUUUUACCAUAAGGUUCAAUACCACAAAAGGAAGGUUGGGAUUGAUUUUGGGGGUUAUGGUACCAACAGUAAAGGAAUUAGGGGCCAAAAAGGGGCCAAAAAUAAGCAUUUUUGUAACUUCCAGACAUAAUUUGUGUAUAAGUGUAUGGAUCUCUCUGACAUUGUACCACAAGGUUCCAUAUCACAAAAGGAAUGCUGGGAUUGAUUUUGGGGGUAAUUGCCUCAAAAUUUUAGGAAUUAGGGGCCAAAAAAGGGGCAAAAAACAAGCAUUUUUCUAGUUUCAUGACAAUAACUUGUGUGUAAGUGUAUGGAUCUUUCUGAAAUUGUACUACAAGGUUCCAUAUCACAAAGGGAAAGCUGGAAUUGAGUUUGGGGGUAAUUGCCGAAACGUUUAGGAAUUGGGGGCCAAAAAGGGGCCAAAAAACACAUUUUUCUAGUUUCCAGACAAUAACUUGUGUUCAAGUGUAUGGAUCUCUCUGAAAUUGUACUGCAAGGUACCAUACCGCAAAGGGAAGGCUGGGAUUGAUGAUGGGGGUAAUUGCCUCAAUAUUUUAGUAAUUAGGGGCCAAAAAGGG